AUAUUACUAAGGGGAGGAAAAGAAACUAACAAGGAUUCCCUCAGUAACGGCGAGUGAAGCGGGAAAAGCUCAACUUGAAAAUCGGGCGGUUCUGCCGUUCGAAUUGUAGUCUAGAGAGGCGCUGUCAGCGGAUGCCUGGGCCUAAGUCCUUUGGAACAAGGCGUCAGAGAGGGUGAGAGCCCCGUAUUAGGUCCGGGAAUUUUCCGCGUACGAUACGCUUUCAACGAGUCGGGUUGCUUGGGACUGCAGCCCUAAGUGGGAGGUAAAUUUCUCCUAAAGCUAAAUACAUGCGAGAGACCGAUAGCGCACAAGUA
rnacentral:rRNA from 1 species